rnacentral:rRNA from 1 species
AUUGAACGCUGGCGGCAGGCCUAACACAUGCAAGUCGAGCGAGCGGCGGACGGGUGAGUCAUGUAUGGGGACUUCCCGAUAGAGGGCGAUAACUACUGGAAACUGUAGCUAAUACCGCUUACUAUCGGAUACCCCAUAUGGGAUUAGCUAGUAGGUGAGGUACUGGCUCACCUAGGCGACGAUCCCUAGCUGGUCUGAGAGGAUGAUCAGCCACACUGAGACUGAGACACGGCCCAAGCGCCUACGGAGGCAGCAGUGGGGAAUAUUGCACAAUGGGCGCAAGCCUGAGGCAGCCAUGCCGCGUGUAUGAAGAAGGCCUUCGGGGUGUAAAGUACUUUUGGCAGAGAAGCGGUAUCUGCAGAAGAAGCACCGGCUAACUACGUGCCAGCCGCCGCGGUAAUUC